UUCGCCGCCAAAAAGCCCGGGAGAAGCGCGAGAGCGUAGCCGGUCACGUGUGUCGGCGCACGCGGAAAUCCCUGGGCGCCAACGGGCCCUCAAGCUUUCUCAACAAUCUCCGCUCCACUAAAGACAGUAUUUCUGCUGGGUGAACCCUUGUUUCAUUGUGACACCUUGACAAAGCAUACAGUGGACUGCAUCCCAUCCAGGGUAUACUACCCCCAGCCUAGAGCUUGGUGAUUCUGGGAUAGGCUAUGGACCACUGCAACACCGAGAAGGACAACAGGUUAACGGAAAUGAGUGAGUGGCCCCUCCUGCCACCGUCUGUGCCAUCAUCUGCUGUCCGGUUGGGCUAUGACUCAGCACCCACCCCCUUCUCCUCAACCCCCGCAUCUCCCCUGGGAGAACAGGUGGAUUUCUGCUCAUUUGUAAAGGAGCCCCAAGUCCCCCGAACCGAAGCAUAACCCCCUAUUAUAGCAUUGCAGGAACAGUACCAGCUCAGCGCCAGAUGCUUUGCCACAGUCUUUCAGCUGACAUUGUUGCCUUCAAAGUUUUGCCCAUCGUGAAGAUUAUAGUCAUUUUGCCGCUCAGGAUUUGUGUGCAUUUUUAUUGGUGCCUCACUUCCAUG